rnacentral:rRNA from 1 species
GACGAACGCUGGCGGCGCGCCUAACACAUGCAAGUCGAGCGAGAACCAGCCCUUCGGGGCUGGGGACAGCGGCGAACGGGUGAGUAACACGUGGGUGAUCUACCCUCGGUUCUGGGAUAGCCCGGGGAAACCCGGAUUAAUACCGGAUGGCCUUUUCGAGUCUUCGGACCUGAAAGAAAAGGUAGCUUCGGCCUCCGACCGAGGAUGAGCCCGCGGCCGAUUAGCUUGUUGGUGGGGUAAUGGCCUACCAAGGCAACCAUCGGUAGCUGUCUGAGAGGACGAUCAGCCACACUGGGACUGAGACACGGCCCAGACUCCUACGGGAGGCAGCAGUGGGGAAUCUUGCGCAAUGGGCGAAAGCCUGACGCAGCGACGCCGCGUGCGGGAAGAAGGCCUCGGUUGUAACG